rnacentral:lncRNA from 1 species
GGCGGCCACUACGAUUUCGUCUCGGGCAAGUUCGACACAUGGGAGCUGUAAAUCAAUCAUCCCUCCCAUUGCUCAAAUCCCAAUAUAUAUACAUACGUAAGUAUAUCAAAGAUAUAUCGAUCCAUCGAUAUGGAUGCCAUGGAGUACCUACUCGUUAUUUUCCAGUUGUGAAUCCCCAACAGCCUGGUGUCAAUUUUUGUAAUAAGGGAUAGUAUUUUCCGGUAAUGAAUUAUAUUGUACUACUAUGUGAUGCAUAAUUUAAUCGUCAAAUGAUCGAAUACAUCGGAUAUUAUUUUAGUCAUAUUCAUCAUCAAGAGUUUACCUUCUGAUUUUUUGGCUUUGUCUUCCCUAUGGUGUGUGACACUGACUAAUUGUUUUUUCAGACAUUUUAUUGCCUCUCCAUUGCUACUAUUUUUAUCAGUAUUAUUUUAACCCAGUGAUUGAACUGUCAUCGGCUUUAUAUGCUACCCACCUUUUUCUACACAGCAUGUCCUUCUUCACCUUUAUUUAUACAAGGCAUUCUUUCAUUCCACUGCCAAGAUGACUAGAUGAGGAGAUUGGGAUUAUCCCUCUUUGUAUGUACCCAACUUGGAAUGAGAGACAUCAGGACAAGGCAAUAUGCAACUACUGUGCUGCCAAGAGAACAGUGCAAUAUUCCAUUUACCUUUAUCCUUUGCUCUUCUCCCUCCUUCAUCCCCUGCCGCCGCCAGCAAGUGCUAACGGGCAAAGACGGGUGGCAGAGCAGGGCGGUGGAGGCCCAAUCUGGCCGAUCCAGGUUUUUUUCUUUCGAAAAGGAGGCGUUGCCCCGGCCUCUGCAUCGAGUGAUGCAUACAACCAUUUUAUUGCGAAACGAAAUAGUCUGGAGCAAUACAAAAUAGCGAGAUAAUUCAAGAAACAAAAAAAGAUUUACAUGGCGCUCAGACCGCCGAAAAACCGACUAUAUCCCACGGAUAGGCUAGACUAAAGUCCAAUCCUAUUAGCAUGCCGCCAUCCAUAUCGGUUGAAGAUAAUCUGAGCUGCCAUCUCCCAUCGGACACACCCAGUAACCAAAGGCUCUCUGGUUUCCACAGGAGUGAGUAAGGACCACGUGCAGAUCAAGGCGGUAGCCCUGAAGAUGACCUGCAAAAAGUUAAUGUGAUGUAAUCUGUUAAAAACUAGAUCAUUUCUGCAGUUUCAUAUCGCCCACAACAUGGCACAAGUACCAAUCCGAAUUAGUUUGGCGUAAAAUACAUUAACCCCUUUUAGCCACGUCCCAAAUAACAUGUGAAUGCUAGUAGGUGGAGUAAUGUUGAAAGAAAUCUGUAAGGAGCGCCAUAAUAAUUUAGCCAUAAGGCAAUCCAGAAAGAGGUGUUUAAUCGUCUCAUGCGUCUGACAGAAGCUGCAUCUUUUAUUUCCUUUCCACUGUCUUUUAGCCAAGUUAUCCUUAGUUAAAACAACUCCCUUGUGAACAAACCACAUGAAGAUUUUUAUCUUAAGGGGAACCUUGACCUUCCAAAUAUGGAUGAACUUUGGAAUAGGCGACGUAUCAAUAAUAUGGUCGUACAUCGAUUUCACUAAGAAAGUACCAUUGGUAGUCAGCCUCCAACGAAUACUAUCUGGGAAAUCAGAAAGGGAAAUAUCCAUCAGUCUUCUGACUAGAUGUAACCAACUAACCCAUCUAUUUCCGAUCAAGGCUCUACGGAAUUGAAUGUUAAGAGGAGUGUGUCGUAACACUGCAGCAACGGAAGUCUGUUUUCGUUGUGCAAUAUUAUAUAGUUGCGGAUACUGUAGAGCCAAAGGAAGUGCGCCUAACUAAGUAUCUUCCCAGAAUCUAGUAAUUUCACCAUUACCAAUGACGAAUCUAGUUCUAUUAAAGAAAGCAGCCUUUGUCCUCAUUAAACCUUUCCAAAAAGGUGAAUCGGCCGGUCGCGCAGUGACUUGGGCUAAGGUUUUGUUCUGUAGAUACUUUUUCUUUAAAAUUUGUACCCACAUCCCUUGCGAUUCGACAAACAAUCUGAAUAGCCACUUGCUAAGCAGACAUCUGUUCUUGAGCUCUAGAUUUUCAAUCCCCAAACCUCCCUGAUCCUUGGGUCUACAAAUAAUAUCCCAUCUAGCCAGUCUAUAUUUAGUCUUGACCUCGUCGCUCUGCCAGAAAAAUCUAGAUCGAAAGAAAUCCAACCUUUUCCGCACCCCAACAGGCACUUGAAAAAAAAAUAGUAGAAACAUUGGCAUACUUGUCAACACUGAGUUAACAAGAACCAAUCGUCCUCCGUAGGAUAAUAGCUUGCCCUUCCAGCAGCUUAAUUUUUUCUCAAAACGAUCUUCGGUACAUCUCCACUCCUUGAUGGUCAACUUUCGGUAAUGAAUUGGGAUUCCUAAAUAUGAGAACGGUAACGUACCGCCCUCACAUCCAAAACUGAUCCAGGUGGGCCUUAAUGUUGGGAGCCGCCAAGGGGUGGGCGAGAUUGUGCCUUCACACUCAUUUCUUUGCAUGGUCGCCAUGCUGCAAGUCUUGAGCGAGGCAUCGUCAGGGUCUUGGAUGCAGAGGCGACAUCCUCGGUGGUGGCAGUCAUGGUGCUCGAUGAUUUGCUCGCGGGGCGGGUGUUGACUGGUUGCUAUGGCCAUGCCGAUAGUGUGGUAAAUAGUGUGCAACGGCAGGUGGCGGUGGUCCGGCGAGUAGUGGCUUGGUGUACUCCAUCUGGGAGACGAUGAGAGUUUGCUGAGGUGAAAACUCUAUCUGGCCUUGCCGUGUUGCGGUCAUCGGCGCCUAUGGGCGUUAUCUCGUUCUUCAAGGCAUCAUCGCAGUUCCUUUUCAUCCCCUUGCUGCUUCGGGAAAGUCCAAUCCUUGGACCGGGCGGUGGCAGCAGUCCGAUGUCAUACGGUUUCUGUAGGCGUCGGCUUCGAGAACCCACUUCAUCAUGCAUGGCUCUCUGUCCAGUGACUUGUUCAUGGUGGAUGGCCUCGGAGACUUCAAGUCAUGCCCUCUCAUCCUCUCUAUAGAUUGCUUGGAGAAGUAGGGUGCCAAGUAGCUGUUAUUAUCACCCUUGCAUAUUGCCUUGAGUGUGAUCAUGUGAUAUCGAGUAGUUUGUGUUGAGUUAUAUGUUAAUUAGGUCGUUGAUUUUUAUAUAAAGCAGGGCGCACACCUUUUUUAUGUAGAAACACCCGCAAUUUGUUUGCAAAGACCACCAUCUUACACGCAUGGUAGUGGGAUGACGGCUUAUUAGAUGGUGGUUUGUUAGUGUAUGUAUUAUGUGGUUAAAUCUCCGUGUCGGUUCUCAAGUGCCUUGUGAUGUCUUCUUUUUUGUAGAAGUAUGUCAUCUUUCUUUUUUAGGGUUGGCUUUGUCAUCAUCGGCUCAUGAGUGACCACUCUUUUAUAAAAGUGUAGCCUAGGAGUUCCGGGUUGGUCUUCAGAUUUUGCAGGCCCGGUGCAAAACUAGAUCCUAAUCCCUAGGGCCUUAACAUAAACAUAAAAAAAUAUGAGAAAAUAUGUUGAAUUGUCAGCCAAAGAAAAUUUGUUUUUUUUCUCUUAUAAAUCUCUAUCUUUACUAAUAUAUGCAAUUAAGAUUAACCUAAUUUUUGGAUCACAGUUUAGAAGUUGUUUAUUUUUUGUUUUGAGUUUAUCUUUACCACAGUAUUAGUGGUUGUUUGGUGGACUUACUGUCGCGAGACAUGUGGCCUCAGAUUCCUGUUUUUUUUUUCUGGAUCGAUGUUCUACAACUGUUGGAUUUGAAUAAUAAAUAAUCUAGGUCAUAUGAUAUCCUUCUUUAAUUUGAUGGCAAACACCCAAAUUAUGUUCUGUUCGAUAUUCAAAUUCAUCUUUAAUUUGAUGCUAGCCUUCGCGCCAUGGCACAAGGCCAUUCUAGUUGGCCCACGUCAACCCAAGUCCAUCCCAGCCAAUAUGACGGCAACAGGAGAAACCAAAACGACACUAUUUUUUUUUUGAACGGAGGCAAAAGAUUGGCCUCUUGCAUUAAUCAAGAAGAAAGUAGCAUAGAAUAGCGAUUACAUGGCCACACAGGCCAAGCUAAAAGACAGAAAUGACUUAUUCUCCUGGGAUAAUAAUCCCCAAAGACUUAGCGCCCGCUUUCGUCCAUAAUUUUGCGUCAGCCUUGAUGGUAGUCACCACAUGGGAAGGUAAGGAUGCCUUGUUCUGAAAAACCCUAACAUUCCUCUCGUUCCAGAUCGCCCAACAGACAAGCAUCAUCAUAGAUUUGAAAGUCUUUUUGUGUGUGCCGAUGUGACCGUGAGCAUCCCAACAAUUGUUCAUAGACGAAAGAUCAGCCCAAACAUUGGUCUGCGAUUGCAAAAACCAAAACGACGCUAGUUCGGCAGUUCCCCGACGUUGGGCCUGGAUGCUUGUUGAGCACGGGAUACCAUGAUCAGUCCAAACCAUCAGCGCCUCAAGCACAGAUAAAACAAACAAGAAAACCUAAUCUACACGGCAAACGAAGAUGAAAAGAACACCAACAGUGCUAAUUAACCCCCAUCGACAAGAAGGAUAUAUUUUUCUGUGGAAUUUUUUGAGACAAUCUUCUAGGGAAAUUAUAGAUUUGAGAAAAAGGGGAAUUGGUAGAUGUGCAUGAAAGUGAGUCCCACACAAUCUCGUAUGAUUAUGGCCGACAUUUAUAGCCAAUCUAACCACUCUAAUCUUUGAUACGGAUGUUAGACAAGUAACCAGUAGUUUUCUUAUUUUUGACAUAAACAAGUAACCAGUAGUUCGUAGCACUCACAAGCUUGUGUGUGUGUCUCGAGUUCAUGUCAGUUUAUUCUUCUAUACUUAACAUUUACUAGUUUGCAACGAAUCACACUUUAUCUGUCUCUCUAUUUAGUCUGUUGUUCACGGGCCUGUUGAUACGAAUGAAGCAGAUGGUAGGUAAGAUGACUGCCACAUGACCCCUUAGGAAUACCAAUGCCGAUGAUAUUGUUCUUUGUUACUCUUUUGUUAAAAAAAUAUCCCUCUUUUCAUAUCUUCGCAAUAAACGUCGCAGGCUAGGCUGGUGACAUGUCUUAAAAACAAUGAACAACAGGCAGCGAGGCUUGACCGUACCUUUCUUUUCAAACNNNNNNNNNNNNNNNNNNNNNNNNNNNNNNNNNNNNNNNNNNNNNNNNNNNNNNNNNNNNNNNNNNNNNNNNNNNNNNNNNNNNNNNNNNNNNNNNNNNNNNNNNNNNNNNNNNNNNNNNNNNNNNNNNNNNUACCUUUCUUUUCAAACCAAAAUAAUAAUAACCGAGCUUUGCAACCGAAAUUGCAUGCAACCUAUAAAAGCAUCUUUAAUAGGCGUGCUUCGACCGGCGUCCAAAAAACAAAUUUGCAGCGCGCGGCUAGCCAUUUUUAGCGUGCCAACAAGCGCCGGCUUCAGCGGCCGCAUCAUAUUUUAGCGCCCACACGACGCNNNNNNNNNNNNNNNNNNNNNNNNNNNNNNNNNNNNNNNNNNNNNNNNNNNNNNNNNNNNNNNNNNNNNNNNNNNNNNNNNNNNNNNNNNNNNNNNNNNNNNNNNNNNNNNNNNNNNNNNNNNNNNNNNNNNNNNNNNNNNNCGACGCUCCAGCAGACGCUGCAAAUUUAAACGCAAAACUAGUCCAACCCGUUAAAAAUAUAUGCAUAGAUUUCAUACAUAGUUCAUCAUAUAGAUAAUAAUAAACUAGUCCAACACGAUAAUAUAGAUAAUAAAACUAGUCCAACAAGAUAAUAAACUACAUAGAUAGAUAAAACUACUCCGAGUCGUCACUGUGGAUGCUGCCCGAGGUAGAUAGCCAUGCGUCCUCCCAACGUUCAUCGUCAGAAGUGAAGAUGGACGUUCCACCGUUGUUGACGACCACACACUGCGAUAUAGCGAGUAACUUGCGUUGACGCCUCUCCUGCCGCUCCUCGCGACGGCUUGCCUUCCUCUCCGCCUAGAAGGCGUUCUCGGCGGCGACGUCCUCCAGGUGGCGUCGGUGCCACUCCGCCAUGGCUCGCACGUCCUCCUCGGCGACGAGGAGCCGGCGGUGCCGCCGACGGUGCUCGUCACAGUCCUGGUCUGUUAUCAGACCAGGCGGAGGGGCGAGCUCCUGCGGCUGCUCGUGCGUGUAGAUGCUACUGUAACAAAAGACCUUCCAAUGGCGCCAGAAAUAGUCGUGUUGACGGCACCAGGAAUCCUUCUGCUACGGCUACGUCCUAAGGGACUUCCUAGGCAAAUAUGCAAAGGAUUUCCCCCGUGGUCUUGGAGCCUUGCGUUGGUGUUCCCUNNNNNNNNNNNNNNNNNNNNNNNNNNNNNNNNNNNNNNNNNNNNNNNNNNNNNNNNNNNNNNNNNNNNNNNNNNNNNNNNNNNNNNNNNNNNNNNNNNNNNNNNNNNNNNNNNNNNNNNNNNNNNNNNNNNNNNNNNNNNNNNNNNNNNNNNNNNNNNNNNNNNNNNNNNNNNNNNNNNNNNNNNNNNNNNNNNNNNNNNNNNNNNNNNNNNNNNNNNNNNNNNNNNNNNNNNNNNNNNNNNNNNNNNNNNNNNNNNNNNNNNNNNNNNNNNNNNNNNNNNNNNNNNNNNNNNNNNNNNNNNNNNNNNNNNNNNNNNNNNNNNNNNNNNNNNNNNNNNNNNNNNNNNNNNNNNNNNNNNNNNNNNNNNNNNNNNNNNNNNNNNNNNNNNNNNNNNNNNNNNNNNNNNNNNNNNNNNNNNNNNNNNNNNNNNNNNNNNNNNNNNNNCUGUCGAGCAAUUGAUAAAACCGCGCAAAGUCGUGACGUCAUCUAUGGCAAUGAUUAUAUCUAUAGGCAUCACGUCCAAAACAAGUAGACCGAUACUUUCUGCAUCUACUACUAUUACUCCACACGUCGACCGCUAUCCAGCAUGCAUCUAGUAUAUUAAGUCCAAAAGAACAGAGUAACGCCUUAAGCAAGAUGACAUGAUGUAGAUGGACAAUAUCAUAUCUACGACAGAACGCACCUUGUUACCCUUGAUGGCAACUACACGAUGUGUGCCUUGCUGCCCCUACUGUCACUGGGAAAGGUCACCACACGGUAAGAACCCAAAACCAAGCACUUCUCUCAUUGCAAGAAUCAUAGAUCUAGUUAGCCAAACAAAACCCAAGACUCGGAGAGACUUACAAGGAUAUCAAAUCAUGCAUAUAAGAAAUCAGCAAAGACUCAAAUAUAUAUCAUAGAUAAUCUGAUCACAAAUCAACAAUUCAUCGGAUCUCGACAAACACACCGCCAAAGAGGAUUACAUCGGAUAGAUCUCCAUGAAGAUCAUGGAGAACUUUGUAUUGAAGAUCCAAGAGAGAGAAGAAGCCAUCUAGCUACUAACUACGGACCCGUAGGUCUGAAGUGAACUACUCACGAGUCAUUGGAGGGGAGAUGAUGUUGAUGCAGAAGCCUUCCAACUCCAAAGUCCCCUCCGGCAGGGCACCGGGAAGGGUCUCCAGAUGAGAUCUCGCGGAAACGGAAGCUUGCGGCGGCGGAAAAGUAUUUUUUGAUGUAUUUUAGGAAAUAUAUAGGCGAAAGAUCUAGGUCAGGGGGCGCCAGGGAGGCCACAAGCCUGCCCACCGCCGCCCCCUGGUGGCGGAUGGGGGGCUUGUGGGCUCCCUGUAGCCCUCCUGGCUUGGCCCACAAGCCCCCUGAUCAUCUUCAGUUCGGGAAAAAAUCAUUUUGGGGAUUUUAUUCCGUUUGGACUCCGUUCCAAAAUCAGAUCUGAAAAGAACCAAAAACACAGAAAAAACACGAACUGGCACUUGACACUGAAUUAAUAAGUUAGUCCCAAAAAAGAUAUAAAAGGUACAUAAAACAUCCAAAGAUGACAAGAUAACAACAUAAAACCAUAAAAAAUUAUAGAUACGUUUGAGACGUAUCAGUAGACAUCCUGAAAGUUCAUCUGCGCACGAGGCCUCCCUAGGCGCCACGCCACCGCGUCGUACGCACGGGCGACCUCGUGUGAGGUUUCGAAGGUGCCGAGGCUGAGGCGGACGUCGCCAGACCUGAUCUCGGUGUAGUAGACGCCGGAGCGGCGCUCGCGGACGCCGCGGUAGCCCGAGGAUCCACGACGGAGCGGCGGCAUGGUGGGAGAGGGAGCGGCGGAGGGAGCGACGAGGGAGUGGAUCGGAAGCGGCACAGACAGCGGUAGAGGGCGCGUGACUAUGGGUAGCCGCGUGGCGAGCGCCGCAUUUUAUAGGCGCGCUGAAAGCGGUGCGCCAAAUCUAGCGCACGGCCGCCCGCUUUCUCUCGCACACGCAAUAGUUUACCGUGCGCGCUAUUUUCCCGCGUCCGCUUAAGGCGCGAUUUCAUGCCCCGCGCGCGUUUUUUAGCGCCACUGUUGGAGAUGCUCUAAGGCACUUGUCAUUGUAGUUAGGAGUAGCCAAAUAAUUUGUACUUUUUUUGGUAUAAGAGCAUCUCCAACCGCCGCGCUAAAACAACGACGCGCUGCAAAAUCGUCUUUUUAGCGCGCGCACAAUAAAAAAGUUGCUCCAGCAGAGGCUCCAAAACCGCGCGCCCUGCAAAACCAAUUCAGCGCGUGGGCUAAAAUGCCAUGGCGCGUCGUUUAUUUGCUGCGUCCGCGUAGGCGCGCCGCACACUCGAGCGCUCGCUCGCAGCUCCACCUACCCAUCGAGCCGAGGCGUCGCCGCAGCCCGCUCCAUCCCAUUUCUUCCGACGAUCGUUCCGGCGCUUCCCCGGCCUAUCCGUGCGCCGCCGCUGCUUCGUCCUUCUCUCUCUAGUCACCGCCGCCCCUCGCGCGCGGCAGUCGUCCGACGAACAGCGCCCGGGCGCCCGCAAGGUGUUCGACAAAAUGCCCGCAAGGUAUGUACUGGAUUCAACUACACAUUUUUUACAUAAAUUUUAUGCAUGUUGUUUGUAGUUUUAUAGCUUAGUUUAAAUUAAACAUUGUAGGUGAGUUCCUCAUAUGAUUCUUCCGAAGAAGAAUUUGAUGUGGAAGAGGAGGAGGAUCUUGCAAUGAUCCUAACUAGGCACAUAAAUAAAAAGCCGAAGCACGGUGGUUCGGUUAUGGGUCGGCAGAAAAUUUGGAGGGAUAGGAUCGAUGCCCACAAUAGAUUGAUCAAGCACUAUUUUACAGAUAAUCCCGUGUAUCCCGAGUCGUACUUCCGACGUCGAUUUAGGAUGAGUACCGAGUUGUUUAGGUGCAUUGCAGAGAAACUAGCGAGCCAUGAUCGGUUUUUUCAACAAAGAAGAAAUGCCACCGGAGAGCUCAGGCAUAGCACCUUUCAGAAGGUGACAACCGCUUUACAUAUGUUGGCAUACGGUAUCCCCACUGAUCUAGUUGAUGAUCACUUGGCUAUGGGUGAGAGUCAAGCCAGCAUGCGUGUCAAGCGUUUCGCAGUCGGAAUUGUGCAAUUGUUUGGCAGGAGUAUUUGAGAUCUCCCAAUGCUGAAGGCGCUGCAAGGCUAUUGGAUAUGAACAAAGCUCGUGGUUUUCCAUGUAUACUUGUCUCAAUAGAGUGCAUGCAUUAGAGUUGAAAGAAUUAUCCUAAGGCAUGACAUGGGCAAUUCCACGGCCAAAAAAAGGGUUCCGCUAUAAUCCUUUAAGCGCUGACCGAUCAAGAGAUUUGGAUUUGGCAUGCGUUUUUUGGAAUGCGUGGAUCUUUGAAUGACAUCAACGUUGUCAACCGGUCACCACUGAUGAAUAAGAUUGUAAAUGGGGAACUGCCACCGGUGCAGUUUGUAGCAAAUGGUCGUACAUACAACUAUGGCUACUAUCUUGCGGACCACAUCUACCCAAAGUGGCAAACAUUUGUGAACCCGUUGAAAAAAUCGGAAGUAAGAAAAAUCUUGAUUUCCACAAUGCUCAGGCGGCGGCUAGAAAAGAUGUGGAGAGAGUUUUUGGGAUUUUGCAAGCCCAAUUUUUUAUUAUGAGAGGACCGGCUAGAUUUUGGGAUCAAAAGAUGCUUUGGUACAUCAUGUAUGCUUGUGUGAUCAUGCACAACAUGACCAUCGAGAAUGAGCGUGGCCAAGGUUUAGACUACUCUCAGUAUGAGCUCUUAGGACAUCCCGUGCGAGUGCGGCGGAGGGCUGAAAGGGUGGCCCGUUUUGUUGCCUCUUAUCAUGCCAUUCGGCGUCCCGAAACACAUGUUGAUCUUCAGAACGAUCUCAUCAAGGAAUGGUGGGCAUGGAAUGGCCGACAAAGAGCAUCAUGAUUGUGCAUUUGAUGUUAUAUUGUUGAACUAUUUGUUGUAUUUUGAACGAUAAACUAUUUGUUUGAGUUGUAAUAAACUAUUUGUUUGAGUUGUAACAAAAUUGAACUAUUUAUGUUGAUUUAUUUUAUUUGUGUUUGAUUUUUUUGCAUAGUUUUGAAUGCAUAUGUUCUUUGAGCGAUAAUGCGUGCUGCAUUUUAUAGCGUCAGCUGGUGCUAGGCGCGCGUGCUGCAUUUUACAGCGCCUGCUGUAACCAGCAAUGGCCGCCGCGUCAAAACAGACAAAGGGCGCGCCGCAAAUUCAAUUUUAAUGCGCCGCGCGUUGGGCGGCUGUUGGAGAUGCUCUACGGUGUAAAGACAUCGGUAAUCUCCAUGUCCCUUGAAACAAAUAAUGAUAAUUUCUAUGAAUGCCUUCAUAUUAUUUCGCUUGAAACAUGUAAGGAAAAAUGCAAUUGUAUUUUAGUGGUUUUGGUUAAAGUAUGUUAAGAUCUAUAAUGCACUCUUUUCCUCACUAUUUCGCAGCUACACUAUUUAUCCUCUCUAUUUUAGAGGCUUUUCCUGAAGGGAAAGGACCUCUCUCAUAUAUUCUACCCAUAUGUCUGUCUUCAACUACUCUAGGACUAUUCUUCCCACAUGGAUCCUCCUUUUAGAAUGCUUUCUCUCCUCUCCCUCUCUCUAUUGACAAGUACUAUAGCUACUUUACGGUGAGCAUGCUUAUGCAUAUAUAUACACAACCAUCGCCUCUAGACAUGCACUCAGUUCAGUCAAAUACUAUAUAUGUGGCAGGUGAGUAAGAUGUACGUAGAAUAGUACACAUUAGUAGAAAAUGGAUCUUUCGACCAAAGCCGAAAACCACAUUAACUCCGGUUCAAACAAAAACCGGGACCAAUGUCUAGUUCGAUUCAUCUCAUUAGUCUCGAUUCGGGGAAAAACUGGGACUAAAGAUUCAACGACUAUCACGUGGCGUGCCGUGGAGCAUUAGUCCCGGUUUUUGUCAGAACCGAGACUAGUCAUUCAGUUGUUGCUUUAUUCAUUCUCCCUUGUACACGUUAGUCGAUAAUUUGGCAUGGAAGGUAUUAGGAUGCACGAAGGUGCUGGAGGAACGUAUGUUCGAAAACCAACAAAAGUGGUGCUAAGCUCCCUGGAGGCCAUUUCCAUGGCUAAUACAUGGUUAAUUGCCAUGCUGCAAAUCAUCCUGUUCCAUGGUCUUCCUCGCCAUCCGGGCCCACUAGAGCUAUAGCUGCUCCCCGGCGUGGUACAGUGACGCUGCUCCGGAAUACCAGCGCCGCCGAUGCACCCACUUACAUGGCAGCUGCAUGAACCUGGCACUGAUGUAGGUUUUUUGCAUUGUAGUGCUAGGCUGCUAGCUGACUGUGAUGUGUGUGCACAUCAAUUCACUCGUGUACAGCCAAGCUGAGGGCGAUCAGACUUGUCCUUGCGGCUAUUGAUUAAGGUUGGACACUAAAUAACAUUUUUAUAACAUUUAACAUGUAAAAUAGCAUCAUAUUCAUGUACUACACAUUUUUUUAAUCAAAUUUCAUAUAUAACAUGUUAAAAUUGGAUUUAAGGUUUAAAAAAUAUAAAUAUUUUCAACAGGUAUUAUUUGUUCUAGAUGGACUGCAUGUUAAUUAGAGAAAUGAGAUGAGGUUUUCCGCAAAAAGGCAAAAAUGAUUCUUUUUAAAGGUUGGAUGCGAGUUAUUUACCCGAAAAAGAGGAGGAUUUACUGUAAAAGAUGGAAAAAGGGUUCGUUUUGUCACCUAAACGUGAAUGACGGGUUAAUUACCUGAAAAUAGAGGGAAUAUUCUGUAAACAUGUGCGACGUACCACCAGAAGCACUAAUGACUUUAUUAUUAGAUCAAGAUAUCUUUGCAAUAGAACUCAGAUGCUUGGCUGAUGAGCAAUUUUGGAAACAAUGAACAACAAGCUGCGAGGCUUGACCGUACCUUUCUUUUCAAACUAAAAUAAUACUAACAAGCUUUGUAACCGAAAGUACAUGCAACCUAUAGUGCAUUUGUUGUCGUAGUAGUAGCCAAAUAAUUUGUAGUUUGUUUGGUAUACGGUUUAGAUACAAGGGUAAUCUCCAUGUCCCUGCAAGCAAAUAAUGAUAAUUUCUAUGAAUGUCUAUAUAUAAGAAAAAGAGCAAUUGCAUUUUAGUGGUUUUUGGUUAAAGUAUAUAUGUGAAAAUCUAUAAUCCACUCUUUUCCUCACUCUUGUGCAGCUAUACUAUUUAUCCUCUUUUUUUAUAGGGUUUUCCUGAAGGGAAGGGAUCUCUCCCGUUUAUUGUACCCAUUUUUGUCUCUUCAACUACUCUAGGACUAUUCUUCACAUAUGGAUCCUCCUUUUUAUAGACUGCUUUCUCUCCUCCCUAUCUAUUGACAAAUACUAUACCUACUUUACUGUGAGCUUAGAUAUGCAUAUAUACACAGUUACACACAACAUAGUCUGUAGGCAUGCACUCAGUCCAAUCAAAUACUAUAUAUGUGGUAGUUGAGUAAGAUGAGUAUAUGAUAGUAAUCGUUUAGUUGUUGCUUUAUUCAUUCUCCCUUGUACGCGUUAGUCGAUAAUUUGGUAUGGAAGGUAUCAGGAUGCACAAAGGUGCUAGAGAAGCUAGAGGAACUUAUGUCGGAGAACAAACAAAAAUGGUGCUAUGCUGCCUAGAGACCAUUUGCAUGGCUAAUGCAUGGUUAAUUGCCAUGUCCUCACUCACACACUGUUCAAAACCCAAAAACAGAUAUUUCUGUCCUGCUCAACCUUUGGUUUCUAGGACUUAAGGUGCCACGCGGCACCGCCUUCGGACUGGGCUGCAGUUUUUGAGCGGUAACGCUAAGCUUACCGGUGUUAUUGUUACGAGUUAAUUUUACAGCAGGUUGACCAGUCCACUCUUUGUGGCUGCAAAUCUUCCCGUUCCGUGGUCUUCCUUGCCGGCAAGACCAACUUGAUCUGUGCUUCUGGAUACCAUCGCCGCCGACACACCCAUUUACAAUGCAGCUGCGUGAACCAGGACGACCAAGAAGAAGAAUCGAGUUGUGUAGCCUGAGUGCCUGAUAAUGAUGUACUCCCUCCGUCCGAAAAUACUGUUUACAUGAAUGGAUGCAUCUACAUCUAUUUUAGUUCGAAAUACUUUCAUUGUUUCUAAAUGUGUGCGACAAAUAAUUUCGGCGGAGGGCGUAUAUUUUUGGCAUUGCUAGCUGACUGUGCUCUAUGUGCACAACACUUCACUUGUGCAUAUCCAAGCUGAUGGCGUUCAGACUCGUCGUUGCGGCUCUCAUGGCAACACCCACAAUGCUGCGCUACUCACUCAUUGUUAACCAUUAACCAAGCUACUCACUCCACUCAAUGACAACUAAUAUUUGGCUCACGUGAAAUCUUGAUACGGCUGUUGGAAGAGUAAACAGUGGUUGUUCGCACUCACAAACCUGCGGGUGUCUCAAGUUCAUGCCGGUAUAUUCUUUUUUUUCAGAAAAUGCUGGUAUAUUCCUUUUUUUUUAGAAAAUGCCGGUAUAUUCUUAUGUACUGAACAUUUGCAUUUUCGCAUCAUGUAUGCCUACAUUAUGUUACCUUCAUCUAGUAAACAUGCAACAUUACUGUUUCAUGAUCGAUAUCUUGUCACUUUUUGUUAUCAAGGUCUGCAGGUCACAUUUGAGCAUUGCGCACCUUUGAAUACUGGGAGUCAUAAAAGAUUUUUUGUUAGUGAAUGUUGCCAGUACAUUUGCAUUCAUCAAAGGCGCCUUUGUCUAGUUAAUCUUCUUAGGUUAAUGAAUUUGGCUUGAUCGAUUGAUAAGGUAGCACGGCACACAGAAACGAGGGUCGGCCCUAACAUGUGGAACUAAGUUAGUCCCACGUACAAAUUAACAACACAACCUAACAGAUGAAAUUGAGCUAUUUCCUGGUCCUCCCACUGAGAUCUGCCUGGAAUCAGAAGUCCUGUUAUUUUGGUAGCACAGAUCAUGCUCAAUAAAAAAUUGAGGCCCACUACACAAGCCGUUAUAAUAAAUCUGCAAUUUGUGUUGUGCCGUGAUUCAUUCAGUUUUUCAAGGUAACUUUGGAUCAGUCACUUUCCACAUUUAUAAAUUGUGUUGUGCCAUCAUUCAUUCAGUUUUUCAAGGUAUCUUUGGAUCAGUCAAUUUCCACAUUUAUAAUAAAUCUGCAAUUUGUGUUGUGCCGUCAUUCAUACAGUUUUUCAAUGUAACUUUGGAUCAGUCAAUUUCCACAUUUUCUGGAUCUAGUUUCAAAAGCACCGGACAACGUGUUAUAGAUUAUUGGGCUGCAAAAUCCGCACUAAUCUUUUUUUAUCUCAAUACACAUUUGCCUAUAGAACGGACACAUGCCCAAUUUUGUAUGCGCUUUGUAGGUUAUCCAAAUGGUUCCUUGAAUGAACAGGUUGCUCAAACUGAAAAAGAUAUGGAGUUGUCUUGCAUCUUACUCCGUAUUAAGUUCUUGUAACUGGAUAAGAUGAAGAGAUACUUCAUUAUAUUGUCCUCACAGUACACUUGAUCGUGGAUGCUAGUAGCCAGUGGUGUGUUUUUGAAAAUCAAGUAAUUAUCUAUUCCAACGAAAAGUGUCUGGAGUAGCUUUGUUUCCGCGAAAAGUUACCUUGCUGAUUUGAAUUAAUCGUAACAGUUUUAACAUGCUCCCUCCUACUCCUUCUGCUCACAUCAGAGGUAAGAAUAUAUAAUUGAUCUGAACCGUUGGUCUCAUUAAUUAGUGGUCUUAUUUACUCUUACUUUCUUACCUGCACUACAAUUUUAUCUACAGAAAUUUCACGUCCACGAGUAGGGGAAAACUUGCACGUCGACUCUGAGAUAGUUGCAUAUUGACAGCUAGGCAAUUGCACAAAAGAGGGAGUAAAUUGCAUACACAAAAAAUCGUCGAAACAUACUCAUGAGGGAUCUACUUUCGAAGAGCGCGUCGUGAGGAUUUCAACGGUAAAAACGGCUCUGAAUUUUGAUGAUCGGUUCAAAAGUAAUGGCUUUUGAAAAUUUCUAAAUCCAAAUUAAAUGCGUUCACACAUGUUCUCAUGGAUACCUUCUUACUUUUCUCCUGUCCACGUAAGGGCAUAUACAAUGCAUAGCCUCAAGGUGAUGUCCUGUAUGCCAUGUAGAAUCGGAUGUCAGAAAAAGUAGGUUCGGACAAGGAAACGGGAUCCUAUGCAGGAGACGGGUGCUUGAAGCAAAAAAGUGUGGUUCGGUGUAAAAAACUGAAAAAGUUAGAGUAAAAGUAGGAUGCAUGUGUAUUAAAAUCUUUAUUUUUUAUUUUUUGACAAGGCAAUCUGAUGGUAGCUUGCAUUGGAGAAAAAAAGUCAAUAUAUAUACUUCAAGCUACUUUUUAUCAUGAGGCAUAUGUAUUCAUAUGUCAUCAUUAUACAUGCCCUAAUACUUUUUCUGAUGUGGAUAAUGGGAGACAAAAAGUCUCCAUAUACGGCCGGCCACUCUGAAUUUCUAACAAGCCUACGAUCAUGCGUUAGACGUGUCCAUAGAUCCUUGUCCUUGAUCUCAUUAAUUAGUGGUCUUAUUUACUCUUAGCUUCUUACCUGCACUACAAUUUUAUCUACAUAAGUUUCAUCAUGUCGAAGACAGUCCUUAAGUCUAAUGCCCCGUCCGGGCACAUUAUAACCAAAAUGCAUGUGAUGGCUAGAACCACAACAAAUCAAUGGACCGUAUUUCCGUGCACAUUUCGUUUCGUCCCUAAGGAUGAACCAAAAGGCAGUGCUGGACAGUUGACCCACCCUGCACAUGGGGCUUGCAUGUCUCCAUGAUCUCCUAUACUCUGGUAAGCUUUUCUAUUCAUGUAGAAAACCAAUCAUUGGAAAGAAAAUGAAUAUAACAGACAAAUGCUUGGUUUUUAGCUUAUCCUGUCUGCAUCAACCGUCAACAUGGGAUAGAAUACGCUGGUUCCAAAGAGGUGGCCAGUGAUAAUGUUGCUAACUAGAGAUGGUAAUGUGCUUCCGCACUAGUUGAAAAUGACUGCCCAAAAGCCCCAAGUGGAAAGGCGAAAGCUCCAAGAGCUUUAAUACGAAAUCAAACACGCAGCGGCGUUUCCUUGACGCGAUAAGGUGUCGAGUCUGUCUAUCAGGAAUUGUUGCUUAUUCCGAAAGGCCGGCCGUUGAAUUGAUCAUGCUAUUAUGGGUCUAUAUAAUACUACUCCAUGUUCUUGCUCUAUUGGGGAAAGGCAUGUAUCCGUCCUUUGGCUCAAUGUUGAGCCGUUUGACUUUGGUUCGCCGAACAAGUUUGAAGAAUUAACGACCGAGUCAUCUGCCGCGUCGGCUUGCUAUUUUCUUCUUUUGGAGUUUCCAAUCACCACUACACGUCUACAUGUACCAGACGCAGGUGACCGGGCGGACCCUGGAACGUUGCCGCUGACCAGUAGCGCUCGAUGGCCACCAGACACGCGAUCAGCAGGCCUGCCCACCGCUGCGCGGCAGUUUCCCGGCCUCCGUUGCCGGCGCGUGCGCGUGGACGACACGGCCGGCAAUGCCAUGCAUGCCCGUGUGUGCAUUCGCGAACCGCGUAGACACGGCUGGCAAUAACUAAUGAUUCGCGUCUACGCUGUUGACACCAUUUGCGUUGUUGGCAAACGUUGAUUAACCAUCUUUUGCGUCCUCCUGUUCACAUCGGUGAUUUCGUCCCGAGGGCUGCGUAGCUGUGGGCCUCCCUGGCGUCUCCUCCUUGUCGGGCGUUCGCAUCGCCGGACAGGGCUCGAGGUAGGUGGCGACUCGGAUCUGGGUUCCGACGGCUUUGUCGCAAGCAGCUAUGACGGAUGGGGAUGGGGCCUCUAGCUAGGGCUGCAGCUGCCAAGGCGGCGACAGUAGCGGUGGUGAUGGCUCAUAUGCGACAGGUCACAGGGUUUUCCAUUGGCACGGCCGUGCUCGAUCACGUUCGUGGUCGGGCCCUCUUUGUUGUUCAAUACUGUACAAUGUCCAUAUGAGUUGCCUAUCGUGAUUAUCUGACUAUGAUGAGUUUUUUUUUUUUUUGAGUUCAUAUUGUGUUGAUACCUCAUGAAGUUUCACGUAUAGAUGCAUCAUUGUCUGAACUUAUUUAUCUUCUAUUGACAAAUUAAAUGGAUAAUCAAUAGUGGAGAGCGUGUGCAUUAGUUGGAUUCAAUCUUAUGAAUAAUCUACCGUGGUGAAAGUUACUGAAAAAGGCAUGAUUUGUAUUUGCCACUAAAAAUGACUGUUUGUUUGAGGCGUUUUGAAUCUUUUUUGGGCUCUCUGAGGCCUUUAAUAAAAUUAGGCAAUCAACAAUUUGUUGAAUUAUNCAAUUGCUUAAGAAAACUAUUCAUAUUAUAAUUAAUACUAGUACUAGUAGAAAAAUGUCCAUUUGUCCCGGUUCCAGAGGCCCAUUAGCCCCGAUUCUCGAACCGGGACUAAAGGGUCGGGACUAAAGGCCCAAACCUUUAGUCCCGGUUGGCUUACGAACCGGGCCCAAAGGGUCUCCACGUGGUCGCUCCGGGGAGCCCAGGUAGGAGGGCCUUUAGUCCCGCUUGUUCACACCAACCGGGACCAAAUGGCAUCCACACGUCAGCAUGUGGCCGCAGCUGGGUUUUUUUUUUGAAUGGGGGGUUGGUUUUUUUUGGAGAGUUAAUUUAACGGUUUCAUAUUAUGUUAGCUACCUAAUAGAGAGAAGUGUCCACUACUAGGGAAAAGCCUAGCAGUAGCGCGGGUUACCGCGCUACUAGUAAGGCGCUAUAACUAUUACUUACGCGCUACUGCUAAUUAGACAUAUAGUUGUACCGUGUAUUAUAUCAGCGCUACAGAUAAGACAACUAUUAGUAGCGUUCUUGCAAACCCGCGCUACUAGUAAUCUGUUUUUCAUUAUUAUUAUUUUUAGUGUAUUUAUACGUCGUUAUACAAAUUUUGAUACAGUACCAAUUAAAAGGUUGUUAUAUCAUUAUGUUCAUCAUGAAUUAUUAUAUCAUUGUAAGGAAGAAAGAUGGAUUUUAUUCAUCCAAAUGAAUCAAAAGUGAUCAAAAGUUGAACGAUCCUACUAAUUCAAAUUUUGGACACUUUCGAUCCAUCCACAUGAAUCUAAUCCGCUUUUCUUCCCCUAAUGAUAUAAUAACCAAUCAUGAUCAUAAUAACAAAUCAUCAUGAUAAUCAUGAUCAACAUCAUCAUCAUAUUAAUAUAAAAACUCUUGCAUCACUAUAGCUAACAAUCAUCAUAGUCAUUACCACCAACACUAUUUAAUCAUCAUUUUCGUCAAUGAGACAUCAUAUAACAAAAGUUGGCCACUAGUCAUAAUCACAACUCCUCCUCCUCAUCAUCAUCAACUAUAACACAUUGUAGCACAUAAUAUAUAACACAUUGUACCUAGGAUCUACUCAUCUCUCAUAGGACCUACUCUACCCUCUCUUAGGUAGAAUAUCAUAAAACAAGAUAGGCUCUGACUCUUCAUUAUGGAGAAUAGAGAUCAUCUUGUCUCCAAUUCUUGGCAUACGCACAAUGUUGCUUCCAAGUAGCUCUCUACGAUUGACCAUACAUUUUUUCAAUAUUUGAUUGUCAUUUCAUCGGUUUUAGAAAUCCGGUAUGGACAUGAGUGAUGCAGAUACCUAGGCUGACCUGACCGUGCUGGCCGUAUGCUCAUAACAUCAACGCGACCUCUUGAAAACAUCAGAUGAGGCCCACAAUCAUGCGGGAUUUUCUGUUGAAAAACAUAGUAAUAACUUUGUUAGCUAGCAAUGUAGUUUAGUUUUACACGAAUUUAUGCAAAAGAUGCACGGAUGUCGUAAUAGUAGAAAAACUUACCAUGCAAUCUCCAUGCAUGUUAUCGUAGUUCACCACGUGCACUAGUGGUACGUAGUGACCAUAAUGUGGAGGAUUUUGCUGAUAGGUAUUGUAAUUCUCAAGAUCAUUGAUAAAUGUGACAAGAUGAUGUUUCUCCUUACAAGUUAAUUGUGCUUCAUCAUUGUAGUAAUAGGUUCUGUCUACCAUCUUCCGUACAUUUUUUGAAGAUUGAAAUUAAGCUGCCAAUGGAAAUAAGUUGUCAACUAUUUUUAAAUAAACAAUAUAAAUUACUUAAUAAAUAUGGUUGAGAAACUUACAUAAUGAUAGAACUGGAGGCGUCCGCACAUCGACCUAGAUAUCGGUAUUACCUUCAAUUUCAUCUUCCGGACGAAUAUCAAAGGUGAUAAGCAUGUUAGGCUCAAAUACAUAAGCCUUGCAUAACGUAUAGAUGCAUUAUUGUCUGAACAUAUUUAUCUUCUAUUGCCAAAUUAAAUGGAUAAUCAAUAGUGGGAGAGCAUGUGCAUUAGUUGGAUUCAAUCUUAUGAAUAAUCUACCAUGGUGAAAGUUACUGGAAAAGGCAUGAUUUGUAUUUGCCACUAAAAAUGACUGUUUGUCUGAGGCGUUUUAAAACUUUUUAGGGGUGUAUGAGGCCUUUAAUAAAAUUAGGCUAUCGACAAUUUGUUGAAUUAUGGGGUGGGCUUUAGUAGGGGGUGGGGGUGGGGAGGGGGGCUUGAAGUUUAGUCCCACCCUAGUCGAGAAGGAGUUGGACAUUCUUAUAAGGCUUCUCUUCCACAUGCUAUUGAAGCUUGAGAAGAGAAGUGGUCCGCGCAUACUCCGCCGCCUCCGAGCCGCGGGUUGCGUCGUCGUUAUCGUCAUCAUGGCCACCGACGCCGAUCAUGCCGCCACCGAGAAACUCGAAGCCGGCAAGAAGGCUGCCUCUACCAUUGCUACGGCCAACUGGCCGACUAGAGGGUAUACCACGUUUAUCCCGCUUCUGUUUAUUUUGGUUUUAGCCAUACUGACGUUAUACAUAGAUGUAUCUGUUGUUAGCGUAGUGUGUGCUUGCAUGAUCAAAUAUCAGCAUGCUUUUAACCCUGUUGGUGUCAUGCUCAUCACUAUUUCAUGGGUUAAAUUAAUCAAGAAAUUACUAUUAUAUUCAACACAAUUGCUUAAGAAAACCAUUCAUUUUAUAAUUAAUACUAGGAUGAUGCUGAGAGAAUCUUGGUCGAAUGACGGGUCUAUAGAUUUAUGGCUAUGACCCGUGAUUUCUUCUAUUGACCAAGACCAUCCCAUGCCUUAGUGUUGUUGGGGGCACUAGUAGAGUUUUAUUUGUAUUAUUGUAGAACUUAACAUUGUUGUACGAGACUUGUGCCUCCGGGGAUUGCUAGUUUGGUUUUUCACUAAGAAGAAUUACUACUGCUUGCUACAAGCAUUUGCACUAGAGGACCAGCUAGUUUUUAGGGUACAACCUAGCAAUCAUCACUCGUGAAGGUAGGAUGCUGCCUGACGAGCGCCACAACUUCAUUUGUGUGACUCAAACUCCGGAGCGACCCUAGAACACACCCGUCACCCCUACGUUGGUGGUCAUGACCCUUGUGGCCAAGGCAUCUCCUCGCUCGACUGUGCCUCACUCAGCGCCUUCCUUAGCACUAUUCUUGAUAGAUGCUCUGCGUGAUGAGGACAUGGCCGUGCCUGCAACCAUGAAGGGCAAACGAUCGAAGGUAUCACCUUCUUCUCCAUGUAGUACAAGCUCUGGGACCAGUGAUGCAAUGGGUGAUCUCACAACUAUGGAAAAGACACACCUCUAACCAUGGCGAGGAACUUGGAAAACACAUGUAAUCGGCGGCCUGUUUUUUUUAAUCUUGAACGCAUAUUCUAUUGAAUACUUUGUUUUGAAGCAUGAAUAGUAGGGGAAGACCUACUAUAUUUUUCUAUUAAAUAAUCUAAGGGAAAAUUUGUACAAGAAUGACAUCAUUUACAAGGAAGAUUUCAAUCUCCAAAGAAGAUGAAAACAUUAAUUCAACAUCACAUAUGGUGGAUAAACAUGAAAGUAGUCGAUCUUGGUCAAAAAGCUUAACUCUAUGGGCAGCCAGACACAUGUUAUUCAUAAAAAGAGAGAAACAAUAAGCCAUUGGGUGGCUGCUUGGGUGUAUGUUGUUCCCAAAUAUUCCUAAGAACUAACGAAGUAAUCUGCAUAAGGCAAGCCCCACCAAAAAGGCUAUUAGAAUUUAGAAACAUAGAGCAUGGUGUAGACCAUCAUUGGAGGUCCAAGAAAUCCCUACACGGCCCCAACAGUAUUCCAGGCAAAUCUACAAUUGAAGAACAAAUGUUCUCUGUUUUCCCAAAGAUUUGCAUGUCAAAGAACCGAUUAUGAUGAACACUUAGGGAUAGCCUGCCCUUUUGGAUCUUUUUAUCUGGGGUAUACUAGUAAAUGUGAAUGUGCACUGCAUAUUCAUAUUUGAAGAAUAUCUUUUAGAGAUAUUUGAUAGAAUAUUAAUUACAUUUUGAUAUUAUAUAUAAAUAUAUAUCAAUUGCACCAUAAUUAUGGGAUUUUUUGCGGAUAUUGAUAUUUUGUAUAAUAUUAAUUGCAUGUUUAACAUCUUGAGAUCUCACCAUUUAAGCAAUUUAGGUCAUUCGAAUGACAUGAAUUGAUGGCGAGAUUAAUUUGAUAUGCACACUAAGUAUUUUUAUCUUGGUAUACUAGUAAAUGUGGACGUGCAAUGCACGUUCAUAUUUGGAAAAUAUAUUUCUAGAGAUAUUUGGUAGAAUAUUAAUUGCAAGUUGGUAUAAGGUUAUAUAUUAGUUGCACGUUAAAUUAUUGAUUUUUCUUUAAUAUUGAUAGUUAGUAUAAUAUUUAUUGCAUGUUAAAUAUAUUGAGCGCUCACCUCUCUGAAGCAAUUUAGGCCAUUUGGUCCAUGUGAUUUUAUUUCCGAGAUUACUUGGAUCUGCCUCUUUGGAUCUUUUAUUUGGGCAUAAUAGUAAACGCGGAUAUGCAAUGCACAUUCGUAUUUGGAAAAUAUAGUUUUAAAUAUAUUUGGUAGACUAUUAAUCGCACGUUGAUAUAAGGUUAUGUAUUUGUUAUGCGAUAAAUUAUGUAAUUUUCACUGAUAUUGAUAUUUUUUAUAAUAUUUAUUGCAUGUUAAACAUGUUGAGCGCUCGCCUUUGAACCAAUUUAGGUUGUUGAGUCCACAUGAUUUGAUGACCGAGAUUACUUGGAUCUGCCUCUUUCGAUCUUUUUUCCUGGUUAUACUACCUAGUAAAUGUGUUCAUUUUUGUUGAAUAUUUUCUUAGAUAUAUUUUGUAAAAUAUUAAUUGCACAUUGAUAUUAGGUAAUAUAAUAAUUGCAUGCAAAUUGUGGAAUUUUCACAUAUAUUAAUAUUUUGUAUAAUAAUUAUUGCGUGCUUAAUUUAGGUCGCUGGAUAGACGUAAAUUAAUGGCCGAGAUUACUUUGAUCUGUUCCUUUUAGUCUUUUUUAUCUUGCAUGCUAGUAAAUUCAUACGUGCAAUGCACAUUCAUAUUUGGAGAAUAUAUUUUUACACAUAUUUGGUAGAAUAUUAAUUGCACUAUGUUAUUAGGUAGCAUAUUAAUUACACGAUAAUUAUGAGAUUUUGGUUGAUACCGAUAUUUUGUAUAAUAUUAAUUGAAUGUUUAAUUGCGUCAUAGUUAUGGGAUUAUUCUGAUAUUGGUAUUUGCUCUACUAUUUAUUGCGUGUUAAACAUAUUAAGGACUCGCCAUUGAAGCAAUCCUAGAGUGUUUACUUGGAUGGCCACGAACUUAUGGCCGAGAAUAUUUCAAUAUGCCCCUUUGGGUCUUUUUUAUUGGUACAAUGGUAUAGGCAUAGAAAGAUAGAUGCAGCGACUAUUAUAGACUCUUUUUUCAUCCCUCAAAUUUUACAAAUUAAGAAAGGGAAAUGAUUAGUAUCUACCAGCGGAUUGCUUCUAGGCGUCAACUGCCUCAAUCGUCUACCACGUGUCCACCUUACACCUUUCUUGGAAACGACUUCAUCUUAUCCAAGAACAUGAAAAGGAUUCAAAUUUCUGCAACAACAUCUUAGUUGUAGAAUAAUUCUGCAGCAAAACCUUUGUUGCAAAAUGUUUCUGCAAAUUUUCUGACAUCUGUAAAGUUUCUUCGACAAGAUUGUUGUUGCAAGAAAAAAAUUGUACCAAGACCUUUGUUGCAAUAAAAAAAAUCCGCAACUUGAUAUAUGUCGUAAAAAAUUCUGUAACAUGACCCGUGUUUCCGCAACUCAACCUAUGUUGCAGUAGUACAUGAUGACGCCUGGCCACUCGAUUCGUAAAAUCCAACGACUUAGGUGGUGGCGGAUCUUUUUAAAUAAUCCACCGGCUGAAGCAUAACAGCUCCCACAUUAAGAAAGGCAUCAUCCUUGCGGAUAAACUUGGAAAGAAAUUAUAGUGUACCGAACGUAAAUGGACGAAGAAUAAACACUCUAAUCAAUAGUUAUAAAUCCUAGAGCGUUUAGCUUUCUAUUUUCGCGACCCUCAAAAAAAUUGUACUCUACUAAGUACUUCUCCAUAUUUUAUGGUAGUCAGAAAUGUACCCACGGUUGAUCAGCGGCUAGGAUCAAUUCAAAAUAUGCAUGCGGGUGCAUCUCAAAACUUCCGAAACCACACAAGCCCACCCCACACGUACGGCCACACCGUUGCGUAUUCUUUGUGUCUAUCUCCUUUUCCGUGCGCGCUCCAACUCUGCCGUCCGUCCCUGCCUGCCCCCAGUUCUCCACCGUCUCCUCUUCUCACCUCCAAAGAAAGGUCCGGUGGUCGCCAUCAACUCACGGCCGGGGGCGCUUAAUAUAAUCCGAUCAAACAGGAGUAUGCUAAAAGAGAAAGAAGAAACGGCGAUCGGGCACGAAACCAGCAGCCCCACUCCUUUCACGUGGCGUCAUCUCUCUUUGACCGCUACCAAUCCAGGGAGACGCCAUUUCCAAACAAAGUAUACCAGCGGAGACGCGGGGGCCGCCCCUACGCCUCAUCCCCUCCCCUCCCCUCCCCGGUUGCUAUAUAAGGUCCGUCCUCCUCCUCCUCCCGAUUUCAGAAGCCCACCCAACAUCUAACUAUCCUCCCCCACCCUCCACCAAGUUUCGUCUCUUUCAUCCACACCUCCUCCUGCUCGAGAUGGACCCCGUCGAGCGCCUCAGGACCGGCUUCGAGAAGUUCAAGACCGAGGUCUACGAGUAAGUAUUCCCAUCGUCCCGCCGCUAACCGGAACAAACCCUCCUCCUCGAUCAUGAUUUGGUCCGGUUUCCUUGAGGUUAUCUAUUUCAGUCAUCUUAACAUGAUUAUUCUCUCGCCAUGGCAGCCAGAAGCCGGAUCUCUUCGAGCCCCUCAAGGCCCACCAGUCACCCAAGGUAUACACAAAAGGAUUUCGAUUUCGUUUUUAGAUUUUUAUCGGGCCCGAACGAAAUGGACGAAAUCCGGUAUUUCGGAAAUUUUUCGGAAAAACUCGGACGAAAAGCACGAAACAAAAUUCGGAAUUUAGAACGAAAAAUGGCCGAAAUUUCUUCAAAAAGAAUUGAACGAAGCAAAACCAAAACGCACAGCAGAAUCCGAAUCACAUCUUACAAGAUGGGUCAUUCAUUGUCAACAAGCACAAAAAUAAGAUAGAAAGGAGGCCUUUCCAAGCAUGUGGUGCUUCAGCUUCAACGCUGCCUGGGCCAAGCAUUCACCUUUUUGCGGUCACGCUCCCUGCCUGGAACGAGGAGGAGCAUGGAACGAUGUGGAUGGGAAGUACGGGACCGAGGAGAAGGAUGUGGACUGCCGGUGGAGAAGGAUGGGAGGAGGCGGCGCUUCCAUGACACCUGCGUCUUGUGUCGCCAGCGGCCGCCGCCGGGCAGUAACGAGGAGUGGAGGGCCGAAUGGUUAAAAUUUAGGGUUGGAAACAUUCGAUGGAGAGUUUUAUACCAUGGGGCAGAUGUGCGACCACAGGUGGACCAUGGGCCGGGCUAGGAACUCAAAAUGGGCCGAAAUUUUUGCCCCGUUCAUAUUUGUACCGGGCAUGGACGAGAUGGACGAAUUCCGGACGAAAAAUAGAAAUCUCGGACGAAAUCCAAAACCGUGGCCUUCUAUUGCUAGCUAGCAACCAACUCCGGUCCCUUGUUCCGCCGUUCGGCGUCCGGUCCGGGGCAAACUCCGCCGCGGGUUUGCGGUGGGGGUGCCCGUAUAGCAUUUCGUGUUAAUUACGGUCAAAGUGGAGUGGAUUAAGAAAUGGAAACGGCUGCUUUGUCCUCAUUGAACGGGCCACUGCCUGCCGGCCACUUGAUACUAGGUUAUGCACUGGUAAACCAACAACCAAGAGGGGCAAUCAAUCAAUCCUCCUAGUAUGAAAUAUAAUCGUGGAUUCCCUUACCAAUUAACCACCACAUGUCAUGCGCAUCCAAGAAAUCGGAUCAUGCUUGCUGUGGUAACCCCGCCCAUGUGUGUGUGUUGUCGUGAUAUAUGAUUUGGCUUAUUGAGAUGUCCCGGUCCUUAUCUCUUUGUGGUCUUGUGGACGAUGAUGGGUAUAAAGAAAGAAUAUUGUUCUUUCUUUCUUUCCUGCUUUUCCUGCUUUCUUGUUGGAUAACUUUGAUGUUAAGAAUCUUGCAACUAGUACAAGAAGAGGCAUUUUUGUCCCUCUCUUUGAGAUUCUCCAUUGGCGUGCCUGAUAAUGCCGUGUUGGGUUGUUGAGGCCCCCUUGUUAAAAAACCGGACCAACAACCUGUCCGUGUUGAAUUUCAGGUCCCAGGCGUCUCAUAUUUUCUCCUUAGAAAAUAGCCGCCACUCUGAACUAUCACAUUUGAGCAUAUACAUAUUUUGAUAACGAUGUCCAUUAUGGAGCCUUCACCAUCUUGGCACCGGCCACGUCAGACCCCACACACAAGAACCGUGAACAGGGAAUAAAGCCAUCCAUGGCUUUGGCCCUGCCGCUCUGCAUAUAUACAUAAUUAAGCAGGCCUGCCGAACUAUGGAAGUGCUAUCAAUCUUUGGAGCAACUUGCAGACUGUGGUGGUCCUGUCUUCCAUUCUAGAUUCUAGAUAACUCGCAAAAAGUCAUGGCGAAUACAUGAUCAAGUCCUUUGUUGGGUCUACUUUCACGGGUCAUCAUCAAGUCUUCAUUAGGUUUUUUGGUCUGGGCCAGCAACGGAGGAACCUUGCCGCCACUUGCUUUGCUUGGCUUUCUGUCUUUUCGGUUCCUUGUCGCAAAAGCAAGAUUUAUUUCUGGUUUUCUCCCGCCGUGCUGGAUAAAAAGCGCGCCGGGACAGAAUGUCAAGAGUGAUAGGGUUUCUUGGCAAGAUGUCUCAGAAACGUGCACUCCACAUAUCACGCUAUCAGCAUAUUGUGCUUAUUCAUUUGUUCUACCCGGAUGGCCAAAGCAGUCAAAGCCUGAAUAGAACUGCGUUUGCUUAUCACCAACAACUAUGAAACGUCAUCGACUAAAGCAAAAAAACAAUAUGGUUGUGCAGUACAUGGUGUUCGCGUGCGCCGACUCACGCGUGUGCCCGUCGGUGACCCUGGGCCUGGAGCCCGGCGAGGCCUUCAUGGUCCGCAACAUCGCUGCCAUGGUCCCUUGCUACUGCAAGAACAAGCACACCGGCGUCGGGUCGGCCAUCGAGUACGCCGUCUGCGCCCUCAAGGUCGAGGUCAUCGUGGUGAUCGGCCACAGCCGGUGCGGCGGGAUCAAGGCCCUGCUCAACCUCAAGGAUGGCGCCGACGACACAUUGUAAGUUGGUGGAGGAAAACACGUUUCCAAUCCGAAUGGAGUUUUAUUUCGUAUGUUUCUGACCGGAGCUGCUUAUGUAUCAGCCACUUCGUCGAGGACUGGGUCAGGAUUGGCUUCCCGGCCAGGAAGAAGGUGAAGGACGAGUGCUCCGAGAUGCCAUUCGAGGACCAGUGCGGCGUCCUGGAGAAGGUUCGCACCAUUUCCCAUCUACCAUUUCGUACUUUGGACGUGAAUGAAUUGAUCAACUCGCUGACCAAGAGACGAUAUAUUUCUGAACCGUUCGUUGCAUUCCCACAGGAGGCCGUCAACGUGUCCCUCCAGAACCUCAGCACCUACCCGUUCGUCAAGGAGGGUGUGGCCAACGGAACCCUCAAGCUGGUCGGCGGCCACUACGACUUCGUCUCCGGCAAGUUCGACACAUGGGAGCUGUAAAUCAAUCNNNNNNNNNNNNNNNNNNNNNNNNNNNNNNNNNNNNNNNNNNNNNNNNNNNNNNNNNNNNNNNNNNNNNNNNNNNNNNNNNNNNNNNNNNNNNNNNNNNNNNNNNNNNNNNNNNNNNNNNNNNNNNNNNNNNNNNNNNNNNNNNNNNNNCAUUGCUCAAAUCCCAAAUAUACAUCCAUACAUGCGCACAUAUAUCAUAUCAAAGAUACCGUGGGAAUGAUGCAUCGAUGUAAACGACAUGGACCAUGCACUGCUCGUUAUUUUCCAGCAGUUGUGGACGCCGGAUGGCUAGAUGUCAAUUUUUUUGUAAUAAGGUAUCAAAUCUUCCGAUCCGGAAUUAUUGUACAAAUAUUACCGUGUGUGAUGUAUAAUUUGAUCGGCAUGUGAUCAAAAUACAUCAGAUGCAAUUUCAAUAAUAUUUCCAUCAACAGUUUACCUU